AUGCACACUUUCCAUGAACUUUUUGAAGACCCCACGGCUCUGUUCCUCCGAAUGCAGUACAAACCUCACCUGAAGGCAGCUCCGGACCAGCCAAAAGGUCGCUUUCCCCUCCCCCUCCCCACCAGCAGCACCCUGAAGAAGGGAGGAGGGGGUAAUGGCGGGACAGGGGAUGCGGGGGCGGGUGGGGGCCUUCGGGCAGCACUUCCGCCCGGUGUGUCUCCGCAGCGACCCGCCAGUCCUACAGGGUCCCGCGCUCGGACCCGUGCUUGCCGAUGCCAUCUUGAAAGCCUCCAUGAUGCUGGAACAAGGCACCCACAUCUGCGUUUUGCCCUGGGCUCCACAAAUGACGAGCUGCCCCUGCACAGUCCUCUCCGCAACCCCGCGGCCUCCGCCGACAAAGGUGAAACCGCAGCCCGGUGUCCAACAGCCGGGGCUCUUCCUGGCGCUCGCCGGCGCCCACUACCGAACCUCGCCUGCGCGCUCCCGGGUCUGCCUGGGGGUGUCACAGUCUACAUCCCCGAGGCGCACGCCCCCUCCCGCUGUUCCCAGGGGAGUCAGAGCUUUGUGCAGAGGCUGGCUCAGAGUCCACAUCCAGCUCCCCGUGCGGUUGUCAGCGUCGCCGCUGACAGGCAGGAGGUGCAGGGGAGAGCUGCAGGCUGGGCUCACAGGGGAGAGCUGUGGGCUCCUGCUGACGUGCGGCAAUGCAGAGAAAGCAGCAGCCCCGCACAGGGCAUUCUGAACUGCCCGUUCCCUCCCUACGCGCCUAAUCACCCCUCUCCCGUCCCCUCAACGACAGCCUGUGCUCUAUCUCGGGGCCUUUUCUUAUCAUGUCUUGAACAUGAACACUGCUUGUCUCUGCUUCUGAAACUUUGUACAAAAUGCAGGCUUCUAGAACAUUCCCCGGGGCUGCUGUUUCUCAACUCGGUGCCCACCACCUCCUCCACAGGGCCUUCUUGGGUGCCUUCUCCACUCCAUCUCUCCUUUUCUUGGGGCAGAAUCCCAUUGCAGUAUACUUCAUUAUGGCUUCUUGCCUCUUCCCACACCCCACCUCAACGGGGGCAGACGCUAGGUCCUUGUGUAGAACCUGAGCGUCUGAGGCCGGAGACCUUGACCCUGGGGAAAUGCUACCCACCACAUCAGAAUGUCCCUUCUGAGCUCCGGCUUUGUGAAAGACAGUGGAUCGCACCUGCCCCUCCUGGCCUUCUCACAGUGUGUGAUGGAAGCCAACUCCAAAAAGAAGGCUGA
rnacentral:lncRNA from 1 species